UACGGGGGGGGCAAGCGUUGUUCGGAAUUACUGGGCGUAAAGGGCUCGUAGGCGGCCAACUAAGUCAGACGUGAAAUCCCUCGGCUUAACCGGGGAACUGCGUCUGAUACUGGAUGGCUUGAGGUUGGGAGAGGGAUGCGGAAUUCCAGGUGUAGCGGUGAAAUGCGCAGAUAUCAGGAGGAACACCUAUUGCGAAGGCAGCUCGCUGGGACGUAACUGACGCUGAGACGCGAAAGCGUGGGGAGCAAACAGG
rnacentral:rRNA from 1 species